UUCAAUCUGAUGGAUCAGUCAGCAUCCACAAAAUAUUUCACCUUUGGAUUUCUGAUAAUUCCAAUCUAAUUAUUGCAAAUUUUGCGUGGUAGAACUUGAUAUAUCGUGUAUAUAGAACUUGAUAGCCAAAAAAGGAAAAUCUAAAAGGUUGGUUGAAAAGGACUCUUUGGCAGUCUCUACACUAUUUUGUCACCUAACCGACUUUUUAUUUGAUUACAGUCAGUUUAUUGCUUACAAAUUUUAUUUGUUUGUAAUGGCUGGAACAUAUAUUAUAGACAUGAAGAUGAAGUCAAAACAUCAACCCGAACAUGAUCAUCUAUGUGUAUGAUGAUUGAUGAAUUACCAAAAGGUCCAAAACUUAUGUGACAGUAGGGUACGUAUGCCCGUAUGAGUAAUCAAUAAUUUGUUUUCUGAGUAAUCAAGAAUUAGCAUAAUAUGUUUUUCUUCUUCUGCUUAUUCAAACAAAUACAAUACGAUGCAUAUGUAUAUAUAUUUGAAAUUAAUAGAUCAAUUGUUCGGUGUUAGAAAAAAGUGUAGAAUACUUAGGUUUUUUGGAUAUGCUUUCAACUCUCAAAACAAUUUUUAAAAAGAUUUGUAUUGUCUUAAGGAACUUACAGAAAUAACGACAAAAGAAAGAUCUAAGAAAGAAGAGCUUUCAAUCGACAAUAAGAAAAUAGAUUAAGAAUUUGGCUUCAACUGAAACAUUAAACAGGGGAGGCAUCAUGUCUUCUUAAAAUUAUAUGAAAACGUUAAAAAUGACACUAUUAGUGAAAAUGGAAGAGAUGAAAAAAUAUAAAAACGCCGAAGUAAGAGAUAGUGUGUGUAGGGACAAA
rnacentral:lncRNA from 1 species